rnacentral:lncRNA from 1 species
CUGAGACAGGGUCUCACUCUGUUGCCCAGGCUGGAGCACCAUGGUGCCAUCUCAGCUCACUGCAACUAGAGCGUAAAUUUCUGAGGGUGUCAAAAUGAAAUUGGGGAGGAUGUUCCAGGGAUGGGAUGAAGAAGUGGCAGUUCACACAAACUUUGGUGGCUCGUGCCCACUCUGGUCACCUGACCUCUGAGUCUUUAUUCUAUUCAUCCGUCUUUGGCAACCCUGCCACAGGACGGGGUUUUUCCUCCCUCUUUUCCUCUCUCCAUACCCUGCUGCCUUCCUGUGUCCAAUGUGGCCUCUUGGGACACUUCAGUCAGGGUGGUGGUGGCUCUGGACAGCUGGGGGAGGCGGUGGCCUGCAGGCUGGAGAACUGGCUGCGUGGUAUCUUGGAUGAAAUUGCCAGGGGACCGGGGGGUGCACUCAUGCCCUGGCUGGCCUGAUUUCUUGGCACUCCUAGGCAUUGCCUGCUUGGGGACAUGGAGAAUAACCUCAAGGCGUGGGUGCAGGCGCUGGGCAAGAGGCUCACACCCCCACUUUGCCAUGGAAGCAGGAGCAAGAAGGCAAGUGUCUGUUGCCCGCCCUCCUCCUCUUCCCUGCCUGGCUGAGCCAGCACUUUUUUCUUCUCUCCUUUAUCUGCUCAGAAAGUACAGGGUGUUCUGUUUCUCCUGUGCAUACAGAUCAAGGAGCGGAUGUUAUUUCUUUCUUUCUUUCCCCAAGGCGAGAGAAGGACAGGGCAGGCACCGAGUACCAUUUAAGUGAUUCUCCUUCCUCAGUAAGGCAGUUUCUCAUACAUUAAAACAAAACAAAACAAAACCCAGAAGGGAAAGGAAACGAUGACACAAACCAACAGAAAACAAGUUGCCCCUUAGUGCCCCCACUCCCCAGCAGGCAUUUAGCACACAGUAGGUGUCCUGGCUAUGUUCUCUCUCUCCCUUUCAGUUGGACCACAGGGUGUGCUGGCUCCAUGGGAUGAUAUCAGGGCCACAGGACGGACUCAUUUCUCUGCCCUCUGUGGGCUGUGUAGGGGGCUCCUCUGGCUUCCUGGAGGCAUUGGGGAUUGACAGGCUUAUCUGGGACAGGGCCUGAGGAGGGACAGGACCGUGGGAUUAGCUGUGAGGGUCAGAAUGCAGGGGACUCACGUGGCCCCUGCUUACUUGCGUGUCAUUCCAUGUGCGAUGUCUGUUUGAGUUCAAAGUCUCUGAGACCAGGUGCAGGGAGCUGGGGGUUCUUUCUGUGCUGAUCUUGGAGGCAGAGUGGCUGCCUGCAUUCAUUCCACGGUCCAUUCCACAGCUUGUUCCAAAGACAGUCUGCUCAUGAUGUAGCUUCUGCACUUGACAAAUUAUUUUCAUGCACGAGGCCCUUGAAAAUGUUGACAGUCUUGUGACAUCCAUGGAGGGCCUUAUUUGACGGUCACAAAGGAGCGGUGAGGACAAGCGGGCCAUGCAUGGCUCUGGGAGCAGGGAAGGCAGGUAGCUGGCUGGGACGGCCCUGCUGGCACCGAGCGCUGUUCCCCUAUCCUGGCUUCCCAACGCUGGAGCUUAUCUGGUCCCCUGGUUUUCAGAGGUGGUGCUCCAGGGAGCCUGGGGUGAGGGGGACCCCCAGUUUAAUACCUGCUACACCCUGACCCCCAUAGCAGCUUUUUAAGAAGGGGUUCCACCAGUAAGGCGUGAGAGCCACUGCAGCCAUCCCUUUCCGUAGUGGAUAGGAGACUGUGUGUGGGGUGGCCUGGGGCAGACCCGCCGGGCGGGUUGCGGCGCCACGUCAGUCCAGGGUGCCCAGGGUGGCGGCGUCCCCGUCGCAGCUGGCGCGGCCCCUCCGGAGCACGCCGCGUGUUUACCGACCUGACGCAGCGUCCCGGCCCGGCUGGCAGACAUCCGGCGGCAUCGCCGCUGACCCUCCCCGCCCGCCCCGUGCAGGCGGCCACAUCCUCACCUCUAAAUUUAGUUUGCAGGAAGGAGAACCUGGGGUAGGGUGGGGGAGGACUGGAGCCAGCCCUGAUCCGUGUCCUCUCGGGAGGGAGGCAGGACCUAGCAUCUCUGGGGCGAGGGAGGAGAGGGACGGGAGUCAGAGGACAGAGGCGGGGAGGAGGAAAGGGCCGGAGCCGCCCUGCUCCCGGCGUGGCCUCAUCCCCAGCGAAAGCGCGACACCCGCUGUCUGGGAAGGGGAGCGGGAGCCCUUGCCUCCGAACUGGAC